UACGGAGGGUGCGAGCGUUGUCCGGAAUCACUGGGCGUAAAGGGCGCGUAGGCGGCCUGUCGCGUCGGAUGUGAAAGCCCGGGGCUUAACCCCGGGUCUGCAUUCGAUACGGGCAGGCUAGAGUGUGGUAGGGGAGAUCGGAAUUCCUGGUGUAGCGGUGAAAUGCGCAGAUAUCAGGAGGAACACCAGUGGCGAAGGCGGCACUCUGGGCCGGUACUGACGCUGAGGAGCGAAAGCGUGGGGAGCGAACAGG
rnacentral:rRNA from 1 species